GGGGAAUAUUGGGCAAUGGGCGCAAGCCUGACCCAGCAACGCCGCGUGAGGGAAGAAGGCCUUCGGGUUGUAAACCUCUGUCCUUAGGGAAGAAGAAAGUGACGGUACCUAAGGAGGAAGCUCCGGCUAACUACGUGCCAGCAGCCGCGGUAAUACGUAGGGAGCGAGCGUUGUCCGGAAUUACUGGGCGUAAAGGGUGCGUAGGCGGCUACGUAAGUCAGAUGUGAAAUCCCCGGGCUUAACUCGGGGGGUGCAUUUGAAACUGCGUGGCUUGAGUGCAGGAGAGGAAAGUGGAAUUCCUAGUGUAGCGGUGGAAUGCGUAGAUAUUAGGAGGAACACCAGUGGCGAAGGCGACUUUCUGGACUGUAACUGACGCUGAGGCACGAAAGCGUGGGGAGCAAAC
rnacentral:rRNA from 1 species